rnacentral:rRNA from 1 species
AAUAGAUACCCGGGUAGUCCACGCCGUAAACGAUGAGUGCUAAGUGUUAGAGGGUUUCCGCCCUUUAGUGCUGAAGUUAACGCAUUAAGCACUCCGCCUGGGGGAGUACGGCCGCAAGGCUGAAACUCAAAGGAAUUGACGGGGGCCCGCACAAGCGGUGGAGCAUGUGGUUUAAUUCGAAGCAACGCGAAGAACCUUACCAGGUCUUGACAUCCUCUGACAACCCUAGAGAUAGGGCUUCUCCUUCGGGAGCAGAGUGACAGGUGGUGCAUGGUUGUCGUCAGCUCGUGUCGUGAGAUGUUGGGUUAAGUCCCGCAACGAGCGCAACCCUUGAUCUUAGUUGCCAUCAUUCAGUUGGGCACUCUAAGGUGACUGCCGGUGACAAACCGGAGGAAGGUGGGGAUGACGUCAAAUCAUCAUGCCCCUUAUGACCUGGGCUACACACGUGCUACAAUGGACGGUACAAAGAGCUGCAAGACCGCGAGGUGGAGCUAAUCUCAUAAAACCCGUUCUCAGUCCGGA